GAGCGCAACCCCUACGUUUAGUUGCUAACGCGUGAAGGCGAGCACUCUAGACGAACUGCCGUUGACAAACGGAGGAAGGUGGGGAAUGACGUCAAAUCAUCAUGCCCCUUAUGUUCUGGGCUACACACGUGCUACAAUGGGCGGUACAAAGGGUCGCGAACCCGCGAGGGGGAGCCAAGUCCCAAAAAGCCGCUCUCAGUUCGGAUUGCAGGCUGAAACCCGCCUGCAUGAAGUUGGAGUUGCUAGUAAUCGCAGGUCAGCAUACUGCGGUGAAUACGUUCUCGGGCCUU
rnacentral:rRNA from 1 species